AGAACGAACGCUGGCGGCGUGGAUAAGACAUGCAAGUCGAACGCGACUUAUUUGGUUAGCAAUAACUAGAUAAGUUGAGUGGCGAAAGGGUGCGUAACACGUGGGAAUUUACCAAGAAGUGGGGAAUAGCUCGACGAAAGUCGAAUUAAUACCGCAUGUGAUCGAAAGAUCAAAGUCGGGGACCGCAAGGCCUGACGCUUUUUGAGAAGCCCGCGGCCCAUCAGCUAGUUGGUGAGGUAAUGGCUCACCAAGGCUAUGACGGGUAGCUGGUCUGAGAGGACGACCAGCCACACUGGAACUGAGACACGGUCCAGACACCUACGGGUGGCAGCAGUCGAGAAUUUUUCACAAUGGACGAAAGUCUGAUGGAGCGACGCGCGUGGAGGAUGAAGGUUCUUGGAUUGUAAACUCCUGUCACUGCAGAACAAGGGUGCGAACGUUAAUAGCGAGCGCAUUUGAUGGUAUGCGGAGAGGAAGGGACGGCUAACU
rnacentral:rRNA from 1 species